rnacentral:rRNA from 1 species
AUGAACGCUAGCGACAGGCUUAACACAUGCAAGUCGAGGGGCAGCGGGGGUAGCAAUACCCGCCGGCGACCGGCGCACGGGUGAGUAACGCGUAUGCAACUUACCUAUCAGAGGGGGAUAACCCGGCGAAAGUCGGACUAAUACCGCAUGAAGCAGGGGCCCCGCAUGGGGAUAUUUGCUAAAGAUUCAUCGCUGAUAGAUAGGCAUGCGUUCCAUUAGGCAGUUGGCGGGGUAACGGCCCACCAAACCGACGAUGGAUAGGGGUUCUGAGAGGAAGGUCCCCCACAUUGGUGCUGAGACACGGACCAAACUCCUACGGGAGGCAGCAGUGAGGAAUAUUGGUCAAUGGCCGAGAGGCUGAACCAGCCAAGUCGCGUGAGGGAUGAAGGUUCUAUGGAUCGUAAACCUCUUUUAUAAGGGAAUAAAGUGCGGGACGUGUCCCGUUUUGUAUGUACCUUAUGAAUAAGGAUCGGCUAACUCCGUGCCAGCAGCCGCGGUAAUACGGAGGAUCCGAGCGUUAUCCGGAUUUAUUGGGUUUAAAGGGUGCGUAGGCGGCCUUUUAAGUCAGCGGUGAAAGUCUGUGGCUCAACCAUAGAAUUGCCGUUGAAACUGGGGGGCUUGAGUAUGUUUGAGGCAGGCGGAAUGCGUGGUGUAGCGGUGAAAUGCAUAGAUAUCACGCAGAACCCCGAUUGCGAAGGCAGCCUGCCAAGCCAUUACUGACGCUGAUGCACGAAAGCGUGGGGAUCAAACAGGAUUAGAUACCCUGGUAGUCCACGCAGUAAACGAUGAUCACUAGCUGUUUGCGAUACACUGUAAGCGGCACAGCGAAAGCGUUAAGUGAUCCACCUGGGGAGUACGCCGGCAACGGUGAAACUCAAAGGAAUUGACGGGGGCCCGCACAAGCGGAGGAACAUGUGGUUUAAUUCGAUGAUACGCGAGGAACCUUACCCGGGUUUGAACGCAUUCGGACCGAGGUGGAAACACCUUUUCUAGCAAUAGCCGUUUGCGAGGUGCUGCAUGGUUGUCGUCAGCUCGUGCCGUGAGGUGUCGGCUUAAGUGCCAUAACGAGCGCAACCCUUGCCACUAGUUACUAACAGGUAAAGCUGAGGACUCUGGUGGGACUGCCAGCGUAAGCUGCGAGGAAGGCGGGGAUGACGUCAAAUCAGCACGGCCCUUACAUCCGGGGCGACACACGUGUUACAAUGGCGUGGACAAAGGGAAGCCACCUGGCGACAGGGAGCGAAUCCCCAAACCACGUCUCAGUUCGGAUCGGAGUCUGCAACCCGACUCCGUGAAGCUGGAUUCGCUAGUAAUCGCGCAUCAGCCAUGGCGCGGUGAAUACGUUCCCGGGCCUUGUACACACCGCCCGUCAAGCCAUGGGAGCCGGGGGUACCUGAAGUCCGUAACCGAAAGGAUCGGCCUAGGGUAAAACUGGUGACUGGGGCU